GAAGGUGUGCUGUGAGGCAUGCUGGAGGUAUCAGAAGUGCGAAUGCUGACAUAAGUAACGAUAAAGCGGGUGAAAAGCCCGCUCGCCGGAAGACCAAGGGUUCCUGUCCAACGUUAAUCGGGGCAGGGUGAGUCGACCCCUAAGGCGAGGCCGAAAGGCGUAGUCGAUGGGAAACAGGUUAAUAUUCCUGUACUUGGUGUUACUGCGAAGGGGGGACGGAGAAGGCUAUGUUGGCCGGGCGACGGUUGUCCCGGUUUAAGCGUGUAGGCUGGUUUUCCAGGCAAAUCCGGAAAAUCAAGGCUGAGGCGUGAUGACGAGGCACUACGGUGCUGAAGCAACAAAUGCCCUGCUUCCAGGAAAAGCCUCUAAGCAUCAGGUAACAUCAAAUCGUACCCCAAACCGACACAGGUGGUCAGGUAGAGAAUACCAAGGCGCUUGAGAGAACUCGGGUGAAGGAACUAGGCAAAAUGGUGCCGUAACUUCGGGAGAAGGCACGCUGAUAUGUAGGUGAAGUCCCUCGCGGAUGGAGCUGAAAUCAGUCGAAGAUACCAGCUGGCUGCAACUGUUUAUUAAAAACACAGCACUGUGCAAACACGAAAGUGGACGUAUACGGUGUGACGCCUGCCCGGUGCCGGAAGGUUAAUUGAUGGGGUUAGCCGCAAGGCGAAGCUCUUGAUCGAAGCCCCGGUAAACGGCGGCCGUAACUAUAACGGUCCUAAGGUAGCGAAAUUCCUUGUCGGGUAAGUUCCGACCUGCACGAAUGGCGUAAUGAUGGCCAGGCUGUCUCCACCCGAGACUCAGUGAAAUUGAACUCGCUGUGAAGAUGCAGUGUACCCGCGGCAAGACGGAAAGACCCCGUGAACCUUUACUAUAGCUUGACACUGAACAUUGAGCCUUGAUGUGUAGGAUAGGUGGGAGGCUUUGAAGUGUGGACGCCAGUCUGCAUGGAGCCGACCUUGAAAUACCACCCUUUAAUGUUUGAUGUUCUAACGUGGACCCGUGAUCCGGGUUGCGGACAGUGUCUGGUGGGUAGUUUGACUGGGGCGGUCUCCUCCUAAAGAGUAACGGAGGAGCACGAAGGUUGGCUAAUCCUGGUCGGACAUCAGGAGGUUAGUGCAAUGGCAUAAGC
rnacentral:rRNA from 1 species